rnacentral:rRNA from 1 species
AUGGCCCGCAGCAUCGUGCCGGAGAACGCCCGGAAGCUCCAUGUUGCAUCCCCUAUUUCCGCCCAUUGUACACGCAGGAAGAUCAAUUCAAGUAGAAAACCACGUCAGUCCAACCUGCUUCAAUACCAUAUAACUGGAAUUAACCGAUGCAAGUCCAAGAAGGAUUGGCCGGUGCUGCCGACUGGAGUCAAGUUCGAUCCCACGGAUCAGGAGCUGAUCGAGCACCUUGAGGCCAAAGUGAGUGCUAACAGCGCGAGAUCUCACCCUCUCAUCGAUUUGUUCAUACCAACCAUCGACGGCGAGCACGGCAUAUGCUACACCCAUCCUGAGAAACUUCCAGGUAUCACACUGAGUGGCCAAAGCAAGCAUUUCUUCCAGCGCAAUUCCAGGGCGUUCAAAAGGGGCACGUGGAUGCGUUGCCAGAUACAGUCGGAGUGCGGCCUGCACACGAUGUGGCACAAGACCGGCAAUACCUUGCCGGUGAUGGUCAAUGGCCGGCAGACGGGCAGCAAAAAGGUUCAGGUGCUACACACCAACAAGAACUUCGACCAGCAGAGGACCAACUAG